UCCAAACGGUUGGUGCUCUGGUGCCUGACGGGCCGAGUCCAUCCAUCACCUCAUACACCUCUGUUGAACCGUGGAGGGGUUGGUUCCGCCUCCCCCUCGCCUUUUAAACUCUUUAAAGUCACAGAAUGAAGUUUAGGUGAAAACCMAAAGCACAACUUUCAACAACGGAUCUCUUGGCUCUCGCAUCGAUGAAGAACGCAGCGAAAUGCGAUAAGUAAUGUGAAUUGCAGAAUUCAGUGAAUCAUCGAAUCUUUGAACGCACCUUGCACCCUCGGGUAUUCCUGAGGGUAUGUCUGUCUGAGUGUCAUUUGAACUCUCAAGGUACCCUUUCCCUCAUUUGGGUCUGGAGCGCUUUGGAUCGUGGGUGGUUGCUGGCCUUGGCCGGCUCACCUCAAAUUGAAGGUGGUGGUUUUCUCUGAAGCCUGUGUCGGGUUUGACCUGGAGUGAUAGAAGUCUUUCGAGAUCUCUGGGGACGCCUCGCGGCGGCCUGCUAUGGUUGGAGUGACCGCCUGGAUAGACUCAUCUGACAUUUUCGACCUCAGAUCAGGCAGGACUACCCGCUGAACUUAA
rnacentral:rRNA from 1 species